rnacentral:ncRNA from 1 species
UUAAAUAAAGGAACUCGGCAAAUAUAUUUUUCGCCUGUUUAUUAAAAACAUGUCUUUUUGAUAAUAAUAUAAAGUCUGACCUGCCCAAUGAAUUUUUGAAUGGCUGCGGUAUUUUGACCGUACAAAGGUAGCAUAAUAAUUAGUUUUUUAAUUGAAAGCUGGAAUGAACGGUUGGACGAGAAAAUAACUGUCUCUAUUUAA